GAAAGUGGUGCAACGGUUUAGCACGCGCUCCCGUAAAGAGUGAGAUCUGGGUUCGAAUCCCGACAGGAGCA